CCUUCCCUCUGGCGGUAGGCUUAACACAUGCAAGUCGAACGGCAGCACAGUAAGAGCUUGCUCUUAUGGGUGGCGAGUGGCGGACGGGUGAGGAAGACAUCGGAACCUACUUUUUCGUGGGGGAUAAGGUAGGGAAACUUACGCCAAUACCGCAUACGACCUACUGGUGAAAGUAGGGGAUCUUCGUACCUUGUGCGAUUGAAUCGGCCGUUGUCGGAUUAGUUAGUUGGUGGUGUAAUGGCCAACCAGGGCGACGAUCCGUAGCUGGUCUGAGAGGAUGAUAGCCCACACUGGAGCUGAAACACGGACCUGGCUCCUACGGGAGGGCGCAGUGGGGAAUAUGGGACAGUGGGCGCAAACCUGAUCCAACCGGACCGAGUGGGAGGAAGAGGCCUUCGGGUUGUGAAGCCCUUUUGUUGGGAGUGAAACUCAGCAGGUUAAUACCCCGCUGUACUGACGGUACCCAAAGAAUAAGCACCGGCUAACUACGUG
rnacentral:rRNA from 1 species